AUUGAACGCUGGCGGCAUGCUUUACACAUGCAAGUCGAACGGAAGCGCGGGCUUCGGCCUGGCGGCGAGUGGCGAACGGGCGAGUAAUGAAUCGGAACGUGACCUGUCGUGGGGGAUAGCACGGCGUAAGGAGGCUUAAUCUAGCACACGACAUGAGGGUGAACGCCGGGGUUCGAAAGGGAACGCGGUAUUUGCGGGGACGAAGCCGCAUUAGCUAGUUGGUGAGGUAAAGGCUUACCAAGGCGACGAUCCGUAGCUGGUCUGAGAGGACGACCAGCCACACUGGGACUGAGACACGGCCCAGACUCCUACGGGAGGCAGCAGUAGGGAAUCUUGGACAAUGGGGGCAACCCUGAUCCAGCCAUGCCGCGUGCGGGAAGAAGGCCUUCGGGUUGUAAACCGCUGUUGUUCGGGAAGAAAUCCUCUGGGCUAAUACCCCGGGAGGAUGACGGUACCGGAAGAGUAAGCACCGGCUAACUACGUG
rnacentral:rRNA from 1 species